UAGUUUUUCGGUUUUGGCGAAAAAUCGUGAUUUUUCGGUCUCGGAGAAAAAAGUAGUUUUUUUGAAAAAGUAGUUUUGUAAUUUUUGAGAGAAAGUGUAAUUUUUAAAGUUUAAAUUAUAAAUUAUAAAUUAAUAGUUAUAAAUACUAUUGGGUAUCCAUGGGCAUGCCCAUUUAGACAUGGUCUCUAUUGGUCUUGGGCAUUUGUUUGGAUUAUUGUCCAUUAUAGAUCACCCAUUACUGCCCAUGGUCCAACUGGGCAAACUCAAUUGUGCGAUGGACGAACCAUUUGACAGCUCUACCUGUAGGGUCCAAAGUACCAGGAGAAUGUUAAUAUUCGCUUAGGUGAUGGAUCUAUGAGACGUGGUCAGGCCAGGGAGGUUGAUGGCGAGAAAGCUGUUGUCCAGGUUUUUGAAAGAACAUCUGAAAUUGGCACCGUUCAAUACACUGAGGUACUGAAAACACAUGUAUCUCAAGAGAUGUUUGGGCACAUUUUUAACGGCUCAAGAAAGCCAAUUGAUUAUGGCCCUCCUAUUUUGCCUGAGGCAUGCCUUUAUAUUUCUGACCAUUCAUGAAGACAUCAAUCUUAGAGGAGACUUAAUUGUCUGUGCUAAAUCCUCAUUCCUAAGGCGUAGUGCCAACAUCUGUGUAUACAUCUAGGAAGUUCUCUUCUGGAGCUGGGUUGACUGCAACUGUGGGUAAAGAACCUGAAGCUGGCUGGUGCUUUAAUGCUUGAUAAUGGAAUAUUUUGCGUUCAUAAGUUUGACAAGAUGGAUAUCAAAAACCAGAUCCGUCUACUUCCCAUGCUUGAGCAGUAUAACUUACUCAUGCAGUAAAAGAGAGAGAACACCGAAUCCAACGGAUCUGAUGAAGCUCCAAGAACAGCUCAUAGCAGAACAUGAGGCACUUUACGGGCCAAAACCGAGUCCAUCAAAACCCCUUGGUGGUUUAAAAGGCUCCUGGAAUGUCAACCGGUGCCGGUGGUGCUGCAACCAACCGAAGAAUUUCCUUAAGAGACGGAAUGUUUUGGGGCAAAAUGUAUUAAUUAUCAUCAGUUUGUUACUCAUAAGCUUGCUUUGUACAACAUAGAGGUCGGGGCAAAAUGUGUUGCGAGCUCUGCAUUUUGUUUAUAGGUGCCAUUGGAAAGUAAA